rnacentral:rRNA from 1 species
GACGAACGCUGGCGGCGUGCUUAACACAUGCAAGUCGAACGGACAGGCGCCUUUGGGGGUACUCGAGUGGCGAACGGGUGCGUAAGACUAGAGUAACCUGCACUUAACUUCGGGAUAACGUCAGGAAACUGGGGCUAAUACUGGAUAGGAAUGAUUGUUGCAUCGUGGGGGUUGGAAAGCUUCGGAGGGUUUUGGUGGAAUCGAGGCGUAUCAGCUUGUUGGUGGGGUAGUGGCUUACCAAGGCUGUGGCGUGAAGCAGGGCUGAGGGGGCGACCGGCCACAUUGGGACUGAGGGGCGGCCGAGACUCCGACGGGAGGCAGCAGUGGGGAAGAUUGCACAAUGGGCGGAAGCUGGAUGCAGCAACUCCGCGGGCGGUAUGACGGCCUUCGGGUUGUAAACCGCUUUCAGCAGGGGCUAAGCUUGUGGUGACGGUACCUGCAGAGGAAGCACCGGCUAACUACGUG